UUCUUUCCUUUCUACUACAUGUGUGCGUAUUUUACUUUCAGUAUCUUCUGUGUCAUGUUGUCUGCGUUGGUGAUCUUUUAAAUAUCUGUAUGUCGUGCUGAUCGUUUAAAUAUUCCGGAUAUGUUCGGGCGCUGUGUGUUGUUUGUCCUCGUCCUGCUUAUAUUUCGUGUAUGGGUGUGAGCAGCAUUUGUCCGCUUGUUUCGGUUAUUAUACCUAUUUUGGAGGCCGUGGUAACUCGAUGCCCCCCGCGCUCACUCUUUCUGUUGUACACAGAAGCAUAUUUGUCCAAUUCUUGGACUAGUUUUUUGAAAGAAACCGCACUUCAUUAGAACGCCAAUUAUGGAUAUGGAUCCAUCUUGUUGCGCUGGAUGAAGGACUGGAUUGCAUGUGACAAUUGCUCAUGAAUAGUAUUUGUUGUACAAACAUCCAGUUAAUUCUUGAGAUACAAUAGAGACACUAUAAUAGUACUACUUUAGUCAAAUACAUUAUCCACUGAUUGUUGUAGUGAAAUGCCGCUCUAGCUAUUAAUUUGCAGAAUCUUGCACGACAAACUAUAGGCAUGUGAUCUCUAUGGUGUUCCAGUAAAUAAAGAAAACUGGAACAUGUGCCUUCAAAUUUUCUAUUUAUAUACAAAAACCAUGCAUUGGUACAUAUGAACCAUAUGAAUAGGACUGAAGAAGAUCUAUUUUUUUGUCAUGUUUGUGAGUUUUCUGUUAUUUCCGCUCAGUGUGAAUAGGACUGAAGAAGAUGGACAUAGCCCUUUAGGUAAUUUCACUUUUUUUGAAUAGCAAACCGUAGAACAAUAUUUCUAUGGUAUAUUUUCAUUAAAAAACAGUAUGUUACAAAGGGAAAGGAGAACAUAGAAACAAAAGAAAAAAGAUCUAAGCUAAUGGGGCAGAGCUGUUAUCCAAUUUUAGUUUUGGGCAACAUGACAAUCAUUUUAAAAUUGAUCUGACAGCCUGCUUGAACAAGGUGGAAUGCUCGUCUUUGAUCUUGUGUUGAAGUAGAGUAGUUGAAGAUCCUUUUUUACUUCAAGCCUCCAAUUUGAGACUGUCGGCUUGAUGUUUCUGAAGACCUUGCCUCACUUUGUCCUGGAUUAAUAACAGAUUACAAAUUUAGUUGUUUAAAUAGGACAGGUUAUUUACGAAGGUAUACCAUUUCUAUUGACUGGAUAAUUUACAUGUUGGCAAGGACUUAUUGGUGCAGCCUGGUCAUAAUUGCUCAGCCAAUUUCCCAACCCAAAUCCAGAACCGCUUCAUCUUUAGAUCUUUACAUGAUUGAUGAAAUGCCUUAGAGACUAAGAUCUGCACUUUGUUUUUCUCUGUUCUCCUGCUCACGUAAUAACUGAUGGCUAUAAGACCCAGAGAAGCAUUAGGAACUGGUCUGCAGUGUCUUCCAGUUGUUGUCUGCAAGGCCGAAGGGAAGUUAUUAAUGCAUUUGAGCUACUCUAUCUGAUUGUUCAUCUCCUGAACCUGUUUUAGUUGAUAUAAAAGUGUUCUCUAUUUCAGAAAGCCACAACACGAGAUUGUGCCCCCUCUUGCUCCAGGCUAUUCCUCAUGUUGCAACCUUUUCCUGUAGAAUGGAAAGGAAGAUGGAAGAAAUUGCAGGAGGAAUGGUGUUCCCAGCGUGACAUUGAAAACCAGUACGUCAAGACUAUAAAGGGGCUGUGAAGGGCAAAAUGUUAUGGAUCUAGACUGGGAGAUGAGUUACCAACAAUGUAUCAAGGAUAAACCGGGACAUGGAUUCCUAAGUUCCAACUUACAUAGCAAAAUUAUAUAGGGAGAAUGCCCGCAUUUUGAAAACUCUAUUACAUAGUUUGAAGCUAUGUUUCUUUCAAUUUGUAUUAUUAAAAGGAUCUAAUUAUUGCCAAUUUGUCAAGCAUUUAUUGUCGAAUAACUCUUUGUUUCAAAUGAGACCUGUGGCGCAAGAGGUAAAUUUAUUAUACAUCUUAUUGUA